GAGGGAAAGGUGAAAAGCACCCCGGAAGGGGAGUGAAAUAGAACCUGAAACCGUGUGCUUACAAGUAGUCAGAGCCCGUUAAUGGGUGAUGGCGUGCCUUUUGUAGAAUGAACCGGCGAGUUACGAUUUGAUGCAAGGUUAAGCAGUAAAUGUGGAGCCGUAGCGAAAGCGAGUCUGAAUAGGGCGUUUAGUAUUUGGUCGUAGACCCGAAACCAGGUGAUCUACCCUUGGUCAGGUUGAAGUUCAGGUAACACUGAAUGGAGGACCGAACCGACUUACGUUGAAAAGUGAGCGGAUGAACUGAGGGUAGCGGAGAAAUUCCAAUCGAACCUGGAGAUAGCUGGUUCUCUCCGAAAUAGCUUUAGGGCUAGCCUCAAGUGAUGAUUAUUGGAGGUAGAGCACUGUUUGGACGAGGGGCCCCUCUCGGGUUACCGAAUUCAGACAAACUCCGAAUGCCAAUUAAUUUAACUUGGGAGUCAGAACAUGGGUGAUAAGGUCC
rnacentral:rRNA from 1 species